rnacentral:lncRNA from 1 species
UUUAAAACUGCAAUGGCUCUUUAGCCCUCUUUCAUUCUCACAAAUCUUACAGAGCCUCCUCCUUCUUGAGUUUUUUUUUUUUUUUUUUUCUUCAGGCCCGUCGGCGACAACCCUCUUCCUCCGGUUCUAAUCUUUUAACCCCAUUUUCGAUCUUCUUUCUUCAUCCACAUUUUUAGUGGAACCAUGUCCAACACUGAUCCGCAUUCACCCUCGUAUUCAACUGGAACCACACCAACGGUUCCAAAAUUCCGGGUCGGGCUGACCUUUUGGCUAGCCAUGGUUCACCCUGGAAGAAGGGUCGGUUGCUUGGUGGUGGCACGUAUGGACGUGUUUUUCUUGGUUUCAACAGUGAAAGUGGAGAAAUGUGUGCGAUCAAGGAGAUGACUUUAAUCUAAGAUGAUGCAAAGUCUAAUUAAUGUGCCCAAGAGCUAGGGUAGACCCACCAGAUAUAUACUCCAAAUAUAUACGACGUUUGUCAUCCACCUGUUUAUACCAAAUCUUUAGAAUAUUUAAAAUGUUAUCAUAAAUCAAUGAAAAAGGAUAAAUAAAGAAGAAAAUGGGGUGCAUUGAUUUUAGGAAAUUGAUUUAUUACCAUCUCAGAUCCAUAAUACUGUACAAUGUUUGGAUGUCGUAAAUGACUUAUAACGGCAAUUUCCUGCCAAUAUCAAGAAUAAAUGUUUAACAUCUAAAAGAUAAAGAUUGAUUUUUGAAGAUUAUAAUCAAGCCAUCCGAAGUUCAAAGACGUUUGCAAUUUCUGUUUAUUAGUUAUUGGUUCAGACUUUAUUGUUUAUGUUUAUUAUUUUCGGUUUGGGUCUAAGGCCAUUAAACAUUUGGUUAUUAGUUAGAAGUCCAUUAGGGUUAUGUAUGUUUAGUAUUGGGAUUGUUUAUGAAACGGUGUUUGUGUAUGGGAUAUAACCGUAUGAACGGUUAUCCUGGAAUCGACACAGGCAACGCGACUCUCCAUCAUCACACCUGUUCAUCAAGUAUAAAUAGGGUCUCAACAUUCAAACAUUGUAAUGCAAGUUUUGUACGUACAGUUUCAAGUUAUUCAAGUUCAGUUUGUUUCGGUUAGU